GACGAACGCUGGCGGCGUGCUUAACACAUGCAAGUCGAACGGAAAGGCCCUGCUUUUGUGGGGUGCUCGAGUGGCGAACGGGUGAGUAACACGUGAGUAACCUGACCUUGACUUUGGGAUAACUUCAGGAAACUGGGGCUAAUACCGGAUCGGAGCUCCUGCUGCAUGGUGGGGGUUGGAAAGUUUCGGCGGUUGGGGAUGGACUCGCGGCUUAUCAGCUUGUUGGUGGGGUGGUGGCUUACCAAGGCUUUGACGGGUAGCCGGCCUGAGAGGGUGACCGGCCACAUUGGGACUGAGAUACGGCCCAGACUCCUACGGGAGGCAGCAGUGGGGAAUAUUGCACGAUGGACGGAAGCCUGAUGCAGCAACGCCGCGUGCGGGAUGACGGCCUUCGGGUUGUAAACCGCUUUCGCCUGUGACGAAGCGUGAGUGACGGUAAUGGGUAAAGAAGCACCGGCUAACUACGUG
rnacentral:rRNA from 1 species